UGUAUACUAAGAAAGAAGAAAUGAAAAGGGAAACGAAAGUCCCAUUCCUCCCAUAUAACUUUUCAUGUUAUUUGUAUAUUACCCAUUUAGUGAACUAACUAGAUAGUCAAGUCUCCGUCUAUCUUCUCAUCAUCUUACGUUUAAGAUGAGCUAUAAGUGUUUGUCGGUCGAUUUGAAUAUCAUGCAACACGUCAUCAGCACGAAAUCGCUCUCGGACAGAUGCUCAGAUACAUAUGGAACGAUGUGCUAUCCGCUCAAAUCUCCAAACGAAGAAGAUGGAGAAAUGAUAGCAUAAAGAAGACAGACAAACACUUCUUCUCUCUGCUUAAUUUAUUUUCUUCAUUAUAUAUAUAGUCUUGUCUAAUUUUGUACUCACAUGAUUGUUAUUUUGGUGAGUGUAGGUCUUGCAGGACACCAUUUAAUCAUGCGUGGGUAGGCUGCUCCCCAAAUCAUAUUUCUACCAUGAGUUCGAUAAACGACCGAACCAAGGCUAAUUUGUUUCUUUCCUAAUUAAGAUAUCAACCAAGAGUUGAUAUUUGUGGAGUUUUAAUGUAAUGAGAGCGAAGAAUCCUUGCAUCCCACAGGGGUAGCACAAAUUUAAAUUUUCUUCGCUCACCUGAAGUUGGAAUAUUACGCGACACGAUAUGGAUAUUGGAUGGUGCUGGUUAGCUAAUCGGUCCCAGAAAUGAUCCGGUACAAAUGCUAGCCGGAUUUUAUCAGUGGUCCCUGAAGUGAAAUGUAAAUGAUAUUUAAGAAAUUUUUCCACAAAGACUAUAUCCAUGUGCAGUCUUGGAAAUUAAUAUUUCGUCGACCCUGAAGGUGACGAAAAUGGAGAUUUGUUAUUUCCUUUAAGUACCAUAUAUAUGUUUAUGUUUCCUUUUGCUUUUAAGUUCUGUUUAUUUUAUUUCCUUGUUUUGUAAA